rnacentral:rRNA from 1 species
AUUGAACGCUGGCGGCAGGCCUAACACAUGCAAGUCGAGCGCGAAAGGCCUUCGGGCUGAGUAGAGCGGCGGACGGGUGAGUAACGCGUAGGAAUCUACCUGGUAGUGGGGGACAACUUGGGAAAACUCAAGCUAAUACCGCAUACGCCCCAUGGGGGAAAGCGGGGGACCUUCGGGCCUCGCGCUAUCAGAGGAGCCUGCGUAGGAUUAGCUAGUUGGUGAGGUAAAGGCUCACCAAGGCGACGAUCCUUAGCUGGUCUGAGAGGAUGAUCAGCCACACUGGGACUGAGACACGGCCCAGACUCCUACGGGAGGCAGCAGUGGGGAAUAUUGCGCAAUGGGGGCAACCCUGACGCAGCCAUGCCGCGUGUGUGAAGAAGGCCUUCGGGUUGUAAAGCACUUUAAGUGGGGAGAAAAGGGUAGUCGCUAAUAACGGCAACCUGUGAUAUUACCCACAGAAUAAGCACCGGCUAACUCCGUGCCAGCCGCCGCGGUAA